GGGUGGCUUAGCGGUAGAGCGCUUGCCUAGCACGCACAGGGCCCUGGGUUUGAUUCUCAGUACCA
rnacentral:tRNA from 1 species